GACAGAGGUGCCAAGCGUUAGGCGGAAUCACUGGGCUUAAAGCGCGUGUAGGCGGAUGGGAACGUCGGUCGCUGAAAUCCCCCGGCUCAACCGGGGAACGGGCGCCGAAACGACCCGUCUGGAGGGACGUAGGGGGACCUGGAACUUCCGGUGGAGCGGUGAAAUGCGUUGAGAUCGGAAGGAACGCCCGUGGCGAAAGCGAGGUCCUGGACGUCUACUGACGCUGAGACGCGAAAGCUAGGGGAGCGAACGGG
rnacentral:rRNA from 1 species